rnacentral:lncRNA from 1 species
AAAUGCUGCUAUGCAGCCACUCACUCGACAAAUGAUUGAAAUAUAUAUAACUACAAAGAAAACCAUCACAAGACGCUUUGAUGGCAGUCAUCAACAGCCAGGCUGAGGCUGUUCUUGGAGUGGUGUAGAUCAGGAGUUCUGAAAACAACAACAACAACAACAACAACAAUAACAACAACAACAACAACGUAUGGUCAACUGAUGAGACUCAGAAUCUCUGUGGGCCAAGAAGUGAGACUUGUUUUGUAGCUCACCGUGAGAAGAUUUGAAAUGAAGAGUUCAAAGAACUGGUCUCUGAUGAAUGGCAUUGGGAUGGUGAGGUCUGGAAAAAGAUGGGAAAAAGGACUUCAGCUUUCAUCAAGAGCCCUUCUCUAACAAACACUAGAUGUAUUAUUUCGUGUAUUCAUUAUUCUGAUAAAACGUGAAAAAUCAUAUGAAAAUAGAGUAUAAAUAAUUCUAUUAAUCUGAAACAAUUUAGUUCUUUAGAAUGUGUCUUAAUAUAUUAUUCUUCAGUAUAGUAUUGUUUUACAUAUACAAAAACUACUGAAUUAUCAUAGUAAAACAUACAAACAAUUUUGAUACAGUAAAUGUUUCUCUUAACUUUGAUCAAACUUUAUUUGCCACUCUGGUAAUAUUCUCUAGUUGGUCCUAUGAGACCAUUAUCUAUACUCUUAAAUUAUACAUAUAGGUACCUAGAGCAGCUUGUUUGAUUUUAUUUGUGUAUAUAACUUUAACAUAAAUAGACCCCUCUAAAUAUCAAUAUGGAAUUCUUUUUUAACUUGUUGAUAUAUUUCAGUGAGAGUUUAAUUUCAGUAUGCAUAGAUUUGCCUUAUGGUACAUUUCUUUUUGUGCUCUUUAUUUUUUUCAUAUUUAGGAGAAGAAUUUCUAGACAAUAGGAUAUAGGCACUUUGAACUUUAUACUCUUUCACAGACUAUAUGAAAAUGCAUGUUUUCCCAAAUCUUCACCUAUAAAGGGUGAAAUACAAUGUAUCACAAUACUAUGUCAAUAUAUUAUUGCUCUAUUGUGGUUUGAUUUUAAAUUCCUUGAUUCAUAUUCUGUUACAUUAUUUGAUUUACUUUUCAUUUUGCUGGAGUACUUAAGUUACUUUUAAGCAAAUGCAUGGUGAUGGAAUAAAUGUUUUGA